UCAAAUUAGAUAGGCGUGGCCAUGAACAUGAUGCAGACAUUAAUGAUGAAGAAGGUAAAGUAGACAGUGAAGCAAGUGAUGCGGUUCGUGAUAGCAGAGAUAAAAGUUGCAAGUCAUGAGCAUGCAGAAAUAGGAGCAUGGAGUAAAUUAUACUCAAGUGUUUGCCCCUGUUAGCAGAAUGGGUAUUAUGAGAAUGAUCGUAGCUAUUAGGAGUUGUAGGAAAGAAAGAGAGAAUAGAAAUGAUGGAAUGUUUUCAAAAUGCAUGAGUUGGUGAGGAAUUUGAGUUCUCAACGAGAUAUUUCUCAAGAUAAUACUCACAAGAUAGUUCUCUUUUGAACGGGAUUCAGGGCAUAAUUUAGUGCAACUAAAAUUAAUUUGUUCAAGAGAUUAUGUACACUUCCAUUAAAAACAUUAUCAGUCAAAACAAGACUCUUGAGCUUUUUGAAAGAGGAAAUUGAUGAUGGAAUUUUAUCAUAC
rnacentral:lncRNA from 1 species